AUAACUCUAAUUGGUAAUAGUACUAAUGUAACUGUAAAUACAUGACUUGUUAUUUAUUUAUGCUCUAUUAUGCAUCUGAUUGGCUGUAGACAGUAACACGACUCGCCCGUAUACCAUGGAGGGUAUCAACUUGUGUUCAUUUCUGUAGAGCGGCUGAAAGCGGCAUCUUGUUGAAUUUCAGAGUAAUAGGAAGUGCCAGUGACAUGACGGCGUAUUACUCCUGAUUAACUACCGUGUCAACCUAAUUAGCACAGUAAUUAUAAGGCGCUAAUGAAUGAUUUCAAAUUCCCCGAGUUUCGAUUUACUUUGGAUUUCAAGUUUAAGGACCCAAGAAUGCAAGAUUUGUUGUGAUGUCUCAGUUUUCCAAAGGAUCUUGUCCACGCUGCCAGACCAAAGCGAGCCCCUUAUACAACGUUCUGCCACAGGUCAAGCUGAGCCUCAUGGUUAUGGAUGGAUCGUCGUGGGGCACCUCACCUAUAGCUAGGUGAAUAAAAAAGUCAAAAUAAUACUGUUAAAAAACAAGGAAGAGCAUGCACAGAAAGGAAGAGCAUGCACAGAAAGGAAGAGCAUGCACAGAAAGGAAGAGCAUGCACAGAAAGGAAGAGCAUGCACAGAAAGCCUACAGUAAGCUGUUUCUUGCGUGUCACUUGCUCUUGUAUAAUACAUUCAAAUAAUGUGCUCACUUGGACUCACUGAAUUAUUGCAUGUUACUAAAGCCACCGUGGAUGGAUAUUACAAAGCAGCAUCGAUUCAUAUGGGAGACCUUAUUCUGUUUACUACAGAAUGAUUAGUGUGUGAACAAUAAUGUAAUGUUGUCUGGCAUAUCUUUACUAUACAGUCAACUAUUAGUGUGAUAUCCCUAUUAAACUGAUCAGGCUAAUGCAGCACAUCAAAAGACAGAUUACUUGUCUUUUGCUAAAUAUGUGUUACAUGUCUUCCAUUUAUGCUGGAAAGAAAAGGGUAACAUUGUAAAAGUGUGCAAAACUUCACUACCAAUAGUAAAGCCUGCCGCUACCUGUUGAGUAUGACAUUUACACAUUGAGAGCUACCUUUUGAAAUCACAAUGUUAUAUAACAUUAAUAAGUACAAAAACCAAGGACAAAUCUAAGAUGGGGCAUUUUCUCUCUGAAAUGUAAUAAAACAUUCAAUCAGCACACCAGAAAAAUAUCAGCAAUUAAUACCUCAGAUUGAUUUUUCUCGACACUACCUAUCCAGGGAUAUUUGAAGGACAAUUCAUGUGAAUUACCACUUACAGCAUAUAUUUUGAAUCCACAAACAAAAUGACUAAAUCUCAUUAAAGCACUUCUGUUUUAAAUGCAUAUACAGUAGUUUAUUUUGGAUGUGUUUUUUUU